GAUGAACGCUGGCGGCGUGCCUAAUACAUGCAAGUCGAGCGAACGGACGAGAAGCUUGCUUCUCUGAUGUUAGCGGCGGACGGGUGAGUAACACGUGGAUAACCUACCUAUAAGACUGGGAUAACUUCGGGAAACCGGAGCUAAUACCGGGUAAUAUUUUGAACCGAAUGGUUCAAAAGUGAAAGACGGUCUUGCUGUCACUUAUAGAUGGAUCCGCGCUGCAUUAGCUAGUUGGUAAGGUAACGGCUUACCAAGGCAACGAUGCAUAGCCGACCUGAGAGGGUGAUCGGCCACACUGGAACUGAGACACGGUCCAGACUCCUACGGGAGGCAGCAGUAGGGAAUCUUCCGCAAUGGGCGAAAGCCUGACGGAGCAACGCCGCGUGAGUGAUGAAGGUCUUCGGAUCGUAAAACUCUGUUAUUAGGGAAGAACAUAUGUGUAAGUAACUGUGCACAUCUUGACGGUACCUAAUCAGAAAGCCACGGCUAACUACGUG
rnacentral:rRNA from 1 species